UACGAAGGGGGCUAGCGUUGCUCGGAAUCACUGGGCGUAAAGGGCGCGUAGGCGGAUCUUUAAGUCGGGGGUGAAAGCCCAGGGCUCAACCCUGGAAUUGCCUUCGACACUGAAGAUCUCGAGACCGGAAGAGGUAAGUGGAACUGCGAGUGUAGAGGUGAAAUUCGUAGAUAUUCGCAAGAACACCAGUGGCGAAGGCGGCUUACUGGUCCGGUUCUGACGCUGAGGCGCGAAAGCGUGGGGAGCAAACAGG
rnacentral:rRNA from 1 species